UCCCAGUUUUUCAUUCAUUUUUACGAAACAUGACCGCCGUCUUCGUUUCUUCCUGCUCUGUUCGUGCUGUUCUCUCCCAAAUUACCACCUUCAAUUGGCCAUCAACCGUUCAAUUAGCCGUGAGCCCGCUAAUAUACUUGCUUGAAUGUUGCUCCAAUUGAAUUCCAAAAUCCCGUGCUCUCCCUCCAUUUUAUCUCCCUUUUUUCCCAAAUCCAAUUUGGCUUUCUCAACUCUAGUCGUUGUUGUCCAUCUGUCCGUGUCUCCGCCACCGUGUGUCCGCCUGAGUGCCGCUGGCUCAUAUGACUUGAAGCCUCAAGCUGGUACAAAGAAGUGAAUCCAUCAAAGAGAACGACAAUCACGGGUGAUACAAUAAUAUUAGCUGGAUCAAUUCUUAAGAGAGAUGAAAGAGUUCCUGACUCAACCCACUCUCCAUCCAUGGACAGCUUCGAAUAUAUAUUCCUGUUUAUGGUUGCUUUAGUCAUUGUUAGUUUCUUCAUGGUGCAGUUAUAAUGAUUAUCGAAGGAGUAUUUUUACAUGUUCUUUUUCUUUAUGAUCAAUAAAUUAUUAGAUGAUUUGAUACAUAUAAUUCAGUACUUUUGUUCUUUUGACGCAUUAUUAUAAUGUUUUUCCGGCCUUCUUGUUGAUUUUA